CAGCCGCCGCGGUAAUACGAAGGGUGCAAGCGUUAAUCGGAAUUACUGGGCGUAAAGCGUGCGUAGGCGGUGAGUUAAGUCUGCUGUGAAAUCCCCGGGCUCAACCUGGGAAUGGCAGUGGAUACUGGCUCGCUAGAGUGUGUCAGAGGAUGGUGGAAUUCCCGGUGUAGCGGUGAAAUGCGUAGAGAUCGGGAGGAACAUCAGUGGCGAAGGCGGCCAUCUGGGACAACACUGACGCUGAGGCACGAAAGCGUGGGGAGCAAACAGGAUUAGAGACCCCGGUAGUCCCUGUCUCUUAUAC
rnacentral:rRNA from 1 species